rnacentral:antisense_RNA from 1 species
GGAUUGUGGUGGCUGCGCUUGCGAGGACCCUGAGGUAGGUUGGGUGGUUUCAGCAGGAACGCAUCCACUGUCUGAGUUUAAACUUGGUUUUGUGGGGGGACGAACAGCGUGACAAUUAAAGAAGAUGUAGGAAUCAUCCAAUGUGAUCAUUUAUGUGAAAUCUUUCUGCAAACUAUACAGUAUGAUAAAAAUAUAAGGUAGUUUUACUGGAAACAACAGAAGACUAGAAGCUGAUGUGAAAUGGCAAUAUCAACCAGGAAUACCCAUCUCGAGUUCUGGAUAUGUCCUUUGAGAAGUUGCCCAUGUCACCGAUCACACUGGAGGCCAAUGCAGAUACUGUGGGAAGGUUCCAUGGUAGCUAAGUGUGGACAAGCUAAUCACUGAAGUUCCCUGAUGCAGAGCUGAUAAUCUCUUUAGAGUUGGAUGGAAGACUGUGCUGCCUUGAAGUUCUGAGAGAUGCCAUGCCAAUUCAAGGCAAGGUCUUUAUUGUUGAAACUCUUCCAUAAUGACAUCUUUAUUCAGGUGAAAAUACAGGAUGAAUUUCAACUGUAUGAUAUUGUUUAUGUUCAUCAGACAUGUUAUUUCUC